rnacentral:rRNA from 1 species
UGGGGAAUAUUGGACAAUGGGGGCAACCCUGAUCCAGCAAUUCUGUGUGCACGAUGAAGGUUUUCGGAUUGUAAAGUGCUUUCAGCAGGGAAGAAAAAAAUGACGGUACCUGCAGAAGAAGCGACGGCUAAAUACGUGCCAGCAGCCGCGGUAAUACGUAUGUCGCAAGCGUUAUCCGGAAUUAUUGGGCAUAAAGGGCAUCUAGGCGGCCAGAUAAGUCUGGGGUGAAAACUUGCGGCUCAACCGCAAGCCUGCCCUGGAAACUAUGUGGCUAGAGUACUGGAGAGGUGGACGGAACUGCACGAGUAGAGGUGAAAUUCGUAGAUAUGUGCAGGAAUGCCGAUGAUGAAGAUAGUUCACUGGACGGUAACUGACGCUGAAGUGCGAAAGCUGGGGGAGCAAACAGGAUUAGAUACCCUGGUAGUCCUAGCUGUAAACGAUGAUUACUGGGUGUGGGCAUGAAGAGUGUCCGUGCCGAAGCUAAUGCGAUAAGUAAUCCGCCUGGGGAGUACGGCCGCAAGGCUG